rnacentral:rRNA from 1 species
GAUGAACGCUGGCGGCGUGCCUAAUACAUGCAAGUCGAGCGAACGGACGAGAAGCUUGCUUCUCUGAUGUUAGCGGCGGACGGGUGAGUAACACGUGGAUAACCUAUCUAUAAGACUGGGAUAACUUCGGGAAACCGGAGCUAAUACCGGAUAAUAUUUUGAACCGCAUGGUUCAAAAGUGAAAGACGGUCUUGCUGUCACUUAUAGAUGGAUCCGCGCUGCAUUAGCUAGUUGGUAAGGUAACGGCUUACCAAGGCAACGAUGCAUAGCCGACCUGAGAGGGUGAUCGGCCACACUGGAACUGAGACACGGUCCAGACUCCUACGGGAGGCAGCAGUAGGGAAUCUUCCGCAAUGGGCGAAAGCCUGACGGAGCAACGCCGCGUGAGUGAUGAAGGUCUUCGGAUCGUAAAACUCUGUUAUUAGGGAAGAACAUAUGUGUAAGUAACUGUGCACAUCUUGACGGUACCUAAUCAGAAAGCCACGGCUAACUACGUG